GGUGAGGGGCACCUAGGUGAGAGGAUUGCUUGAGCCCAGGAGGUUGAGGCUGAAGUGAGUUGUAGUCACUGCACUCCAGCCUGGGAAACGGAGUGAGGCCCUGUCUCAAAAAGAAAGAAAAAAGGAUAUGUUUCAUUUGGUUUAUUGUAACACAUAAUUGCGACUCCCAAUUAUGUAGGCAUCUGGAAAAAGUAGUUUUGGAAAUUUGUAGAGUAUGCCUAUAGACCUGUUUACCAAUCCAUCUGUAAUUAUUUAUUGAUCACAUAACAUGUGACCAGGCCUAGCCAGCCCCUUCUCAGAUAGGAUAGUAAAAUUUGGUGUAGGCUUUUUUUUUUUGAACUGUGAUUCUGUUUCUGAUUUAGGCUAUUAGGGAAAGCCCAUUUACCUUGAAAUCAAGACAUAGCCUCCGGGAGUUCUGAGUGGAAAUUCAUGUUUCCUCUGUCAUUUUAGAGAAGGUGCUGCACUGGUACUUUCAGCAGUGGAUUAUGCACAAUCAACGGUGAUGAAUGUAUGAGCAUUUUUAAUUAGUCUUCAUGCCCUGUGUCUAAUGCAAUCAGAAACCCUAUAUCAAAGCAGAGAUUUGUAAUCAAUCAUUCAUCAUCUUCUGAGGCAGAUAUAAACCCAUUUGCUUUGAGCCUGCAACUUUAAAUAUCUGCUUUAUUAUUAAACCAGGCAGAUACCUAUAAAUGAAGUAUAUUUUGAGCAUGUAGACUUAAAUCUCAAAUUGCAGAUUGCUCUGAUUAAGUGUAAUUGUGAGAAUUAGGGUGUCUCUAGCUUUCAGUCUGUCCAUAGAAAACCUGCUAAAAGACAAAAUAAUGUUAGAGAAAGAGUAUCAGACUGACAUUAAGGAAACCUGAAUUCGAGGCCCACCUUUGCAAACUCCAGAUUUCCUCAUCUGUAAAAUGAAGAGAGGAUUGAAAUAACUGCUAUUUAAGUUUUCUUUAUUUUUUGUUAAAGGUAUGUUACUUCUAAUAGAAACACUAAUAGUAAACAACAUUUGGGAACCAUUUAAUAUGUCUAUGGAGGCACUUGGAGCUUGUAUUGUGUCAUCUUUCCUCUCAUUGCCCCUAUGAGGUAGUUACUAUAAAAAGGCCACCUCUGCCCUUAGCUUGGGAAUUCUUGUUGGGGAGGCUGAUCUCUGUGAGCUAAAGAUUUGGAGAUGUCAGAUAUGAAUCCACAAUGAUUAUCUGAAUAAAAAUCAUUGAAUUAAAUAUAGAGUCCUACAGAGAUAAUUUUUUGUUUAUCUGACUGGGUCUGUCAAAAUUCUGUAAUUAAAGUAAAAUUGACAGAUUAUAUUUUCAAAUUUAAUUGACAACCAAGUAAUUAUUAUAUGUUUCUCUGCUGUUAAAAGAAUUAUUUCAGCCUGGCUCACACCUGUAAUCCCUGCCCUUUGGGAGGCCAAGGUUUACGUAUCAUGAGGUUAGGAGUUCAAGACCAGCCUAGGCAACAUAAGGAGAUUCUGUCUCUAUAACAAAUAAAAAAGUCAGCUGGCUGUGGUGGUGCACAUCUUUAGUCCCAGCUAUGUGGGAGGCUGAGGUAGAGAGGAUUGCUUGAACCCAGAAGUUGAGGUUGCAGUGAGCUGUGAUUGCACCACUGUGCUCCAGCCUGAGCGAUAGAGCAAGACCCUGUCUCAAAGGAGAAAAAAAAGAAAUUCCUUAAGAAUAGGGCACAGGUAUAUUGAAAUCUUUAAGAGCAGUAGAGCUGAAGUUAGAACUCACUAUGACCCACCACGAAAGCUUAUGGCCAUGCAGCGGCCAGGUCCCUAUGACAGACCUGGGGCUGGCAGAGGAUAUAACAGCAUUGGCAGAGGAGCAGGCUUUGAAAGGAUGAGGUGUGGUGCUUAUGGUGGAGGCUAUGACAAUUACAAUGGCUAUAAUGAUGGCUAUGGAUUUGGGUCAGAUAGAUUUGGAAGAGACCUCAAUUACUGUUUUUCAGUAUCUGUGAUUCAUUCUGAUCACAGAUACGGGGAUGGUGGCUCUACUUUCCAGAGCACAAUAGGACACUGUGUACACAUGCGUGGAUUACCUUACAGAGCUACUGAGAAUGACAUUUACAGUUUUUUUUCACCACUCAAUCCUGUGAGAGUACACAUUGAAAUUGGUCCUGAUGGCAGAGUAACUGGUGAAGCAGAUGUUGAGUCUGCAUGUCAAAAGACAAAGUAAAUAUGCAACACAGAUAUGUAGAACUCUUCUUGAAUUCUACAGCAGGAGCAAGCGGUGGUGCUUAUGAACACAGAUAUGUAGAACUCUUCUCGAAUUCUACAGCAGGAGCAAGCAGUGGUGCUUAUGGGAGCCAAAUGAUGGGAGGCAAGGGCUUGUCAAACCAGUCCAGUUACGGUGGCCCAGCCAGCCAGCAGCUGAGUGGUGGUUAUGGAGGCGGCUAUGGUGGCCAGAGCAUCAUGAGUGGAUACAACCAAGUUUUACAGGAAAACUCCAGUGAUUCAAUCAAACAUUGCAUAGGUAGCCAAGGAGCAAUGAACAGCAGCUACUACAGUAGUGGAAGCCAUGCAUCUAUGGGCGUGAACGGAAUGGGAGGGAUGUCUAUAGUAUGUCCAGUAUGAGUGGUGGAUGGGGAAUGUAAUUGAUUGAUCCUGAUCACUGACUCUUGGUCAACUUUUUUUUAAAGAAAAACAAAA